UGAGUUCUCUGCAUCGCAAGGCAGGGGCAUCGUUGGGCCCCGCACAGACUUUGAGGUGAAGCUGGAUUUCAAGGCCGAGAAGAUUGGCAUCACAAAUAAGAUGAUCCAACUAGAGGUUUCAGAUACAGAAAACAUCCUGGGCAUUGUUCAGGCUGAAACCAUCAAAGUCUCUGUGGAGGUCUACGAUGUUAAUCUGAGCAUCAACAUGCCUGAAGGUCCAGAUGGCAGCUUGGAAUUUGGAACCAUUAAUGUCCUGGAUAAUAAGAAGCAAGUCCUGAGUCUGCAGAACAAAGGCUUAUAUGACAUUGA